rnacentral:lncRNA from 1 species
AAAUGACUAAGCAAAGAAGCCUUGUCACCUUCGACCUGAUGCUUCAUUGUAUCAGAAGAAAGUAAACAGAUUGCUAACAAAGAGACCACCCCUUCUAAUUUCCAAAACCGGCCCAGCAACAAGAGGGAGAAAAUAGAGAAGAGUGCACUGCGUGGUGGCUCAGGGUGAUCCUUUAAUUUGAGUGUUAAAAAUGAGGGCACAGACCUAGAGGUUUUUAAUGGUCCGCGGGUGGACUUCAGAUUCUGAACACUCCUCCACCUUCUGUGGAGAAUUCGGGACACGGUGGAGUUUAACCAGUAUCUUAAAUCCCAGGGACAGGGUGGAGAUUGCUUUGUGAUCCUGAUUAAUUAAAAGGAAAGAAAUCAAAGCAGACAUCUCUCCUUUUUCCAUUUGAGCCGCAGAGCCAUGGAGGGGAACUUGUGCUCUCUGGUGCUUGCAGCUAUGUUCCCUGGCUUUCAUCGUCUUGGCUUUUCCCCUUGUAUUUCUAAUGCUGUGAUACCAGGCCAAUAAAAUGGAAUCUACAAAACUGCAAAACAAAA